UAUUAUUAUUCCAUAAUGUCAAUUGAUGUUUUAAAGGUAAUUAAGGUUUAAAGAAAAAAUGGCGUUUAGUUUAGGUUAUUGUAGUUGGUCUAUAUUGUGCAGGAUGGACAAUUUAAAAUCCAACUCACCGAAAAUCGCUUACUACACAACAAAGAUGAAAUCAAAAGUAGGUUCAGCCUCGUGUAAUAGACUCUCCCAAACUACUCCGUGAUUAGUUGCUAGGCCGUUGUUCACACCACUUACACAAAAGCUGUGCAGAUACGAACAUGGUGUAUUCACGAGAAGGGCGUGUGGUCCGUUCGCUUCGUGAUGCUUUGGGUGACAAGUUGAGUAGUUGACGUGGUUGAGGUACUUUUUGUGGUGUACGUGAAUGGUCACUACAAGGCACAUUGAGAGGGGUACUGGGAUACUGGGAACGAUCCGUCCUUCAAGUGCCUGAUCACUGCGGGUCUCAACUUUUCGUUGGCUUGAUCUAUGGACAUUUCGGUAGGACUCCUUGGACGAGGGAUCGGCCCGUCGCAAGUCCUCUACCUGUACACAGGACAGCACAACACAGAAAAACAUCAUGGCUUGAGUGGGAUUCGAACCCACGGUCCCAGCGACACAAGGCCCAUGCCUCAGACCGCGCGGCCACUGCGGACCCCUCAGAGGGGUAGGUACAUUAAAUAACAACUUCUCCAAAUACUAAAACAAUCACAUGAAGGAUUUUCAAAACAAUACUAUGGAUGCACAACUCUUGGACAUGGUUAUUGGAACAUAAUCAGCGAUAGAACAAAUGCAAAACACAUCACUUGCAAAAUCAAUGAACAUUCAAUACAAAUGAACUUUGUACACAGUGGGCAAUACUGUGUUAGAUGAGCUGUUAACCCCCUUACCACGUGAAAAUAUCUCAAGCAAAACAACACACCAUGCAUUAUGGAAAUUAAAAAACACAGUUUGUAUGACAUGAUCUUCACCACACCAAUAUCAGCAUAUAAUGAUUACAGCAACAAACCCUGAAGACUUUCAUUCCACAUAACAUACUUUCUCCAGUGGUUCUCGAGUCGAAUCAUCUGGACAGUCAUACCCCGCCCGUAAUGCAUUCUCAAUAGUCCAGUGGUUCACAAUGAUCACAGUGAUCAUCAGAAUUUAAAGAUCAUUCAUGAUGAUGUUCUACUGGGCUGUGACACCAUGAAGGUUGAUCCCAGUGUUUUGAGAAAACACUUUGUCUCCACUGGUUGCCUGUUGCAGGAGUUUGUGUUUAGGACUAGAACCACACGCAUGUUUCAAGAGAAAUCUGGCUAGCUGUAGCGUGUUAAACGCUGUUCCAGUGCAGAAAGACAUUUUUGAAAGGUGAGAGUGAAUAUGUAUAUGUGUGAUCAUUCAGUCAUGACAUCACCACAAGCGGGCAAUGCAGGAGGCAUUGAGGGGACUGACGGGUGGCCAGCACCCACAGUAGUUGAAUCCUAUGAUAAUAAUACUUAGACAAGGUUCAGCUUCAAAGGGUUAAUGUGGGAAGUGUAAUCAUUUCAUUCCAAGCUACAAAAAAAAAGCUAGUCUCAAAUUUUUAUGUAUACUCCGUACAGAAGCUGGCAGAACUUCUUGCGAUGUAAAUCGGCGGAAUAAUUCCACGAGUCAGAUGUGAAGACGAUCAAGCGCAUAGUGAAUGGUCGAGUAAGUCUUCCUUAAUGGACUUUAUGAAUAAUAAUAUGACAACUUUAAUUAUGUAAAUGGUCACUUCAAACUACAUUAAUAAACAUUUCAAACAAU